rnacentral:rRNA from 1 species
AGAGUUUGAUCCUGGCUCAGAUUGAACGCUGGCGGCAUGCCUUACACAUGCAAGUCGAACGGUAACGGGCCUUCGGGUGCCGACGAGUGGCGAACGGGUGAGUAAUAUAUCGGAACGUGCCCAGUAGUGGGGGAUAGCCCGGCGAAAGCCGGAUUAAUACCGCAUACGACCUGAGGGUGAAAGCGGGGGAUCGCAAGACCUCGCGCUAUUGGAGCGGCCGAUAUCAGAUUAGCUAGUUGGUGGGGUAAAGGCCUACCAAGGCAACGAUCUGUAGUUGGUCUGAGAGGACGACCAGCCACACUGGGACUGAGACACGGCCCAGACUCCUACGGGAGGCAGCAGUGGGGAAUUUUGGACAAUGGGCGCAAGCCUGAUCCAGCAAUGCCGCGUGCAGGAAGAAGGCCUCGGUUGGUAACUGCUUUGUUCAGGGAAGAAAGUACUUCU